GCCACCAAACAACCAACGUUACGAUAUAUUUAUGUAUAUAGAACAUAUCUAAUAAGAACCGUUCUUGUCACCCCAGUGUCGAUGCAGGAUGAUAAUGAUUUGCCAACUCACUCAUGGCCAUGGUCAGGGUCAAUUCCCUUUUUGGGGAGAAGAAGAGGAGACGACUUGAUUACAACGCCCAUUAUAAAUAAUACACCUCUCUCUACGACUUACCAACCACAUUACAGCAAUUUAUAAACAAAACCUAACCAAAUCGAUCCACAUCAGGAUUCAGGAGCAUUAAUUGACAUGGGAUAUGUACAUACGGGAGGAGAGGAGUGAGUCAAAGUCAAGCGUCCUAAUGAUCUCAUGGAAAGGAAAGCAGUAUAAUUCUCAUUUUUGGACGUACUAAAAGUUCUGUUUUAUGUGUGCGGCAUUGAUACUUGAGAAUCGUAAUCGAUACCCUUUUACCACUAAUUUCGCUUUCAUAUGCAUACGUACAGGGUCGAAAGUUGUGUUAAGUGCGCUAGAUAAUAUUAUAAGAUUGACUACGAUGAGUAAUACAUACCACAAAUUUAUGAGACUACAGAAAAAAAAACAUUUUUUCUCUCAACGCCAAGCAGAUGGUACAUACAUGCAUGGCCACGGGCGACGACGACGACGUUUGUUAGACGACUACACGCGGGGACGGAUAAUCUGACCUCAAUUUAUAAACAUGCAUGCAUCCCUACCAACAAUACAUGCACACUCUGAAUAAGAUUACUUACUGCACUUGAUCAUCAUCCAUAUUGUACAUCCAUCCAUCCUCUCCGAAAUGCAACCAAUUAUCAAUUUUAUGAGACAUAAAUGCUCAGGUAGGUUUAUUGUUAGUUCAUUGAGUCCCUUUCUCUAGAUUUAAAUAAAUACAUUUACCAACAGAACCAGUGCAUGCAGUAAAAAAGAAAUAAGGUUUAAAACAUGUAUUAAAGUAAACACUUAUUUAUAAAAUUGAUCUUCUAAAUAUUUUUAAAGUGCUCAAUUCACAAAAUGUUUAGUUAAAGAGUUUCAAAAAUAAAUUGAAUUUAAAAAACGUUUAAUGUAAGUACAUCUGUACCGUCAGAUUUUAUAAUUAGGCCGACAGUAUAUGUAUGUCAGUGUUAUUACAAUUACACAUUUUGACAUGUACGCAGCGUCGUAAUCAGUGACAACCGUUUGGCCGUUGUGAUUCAUCAUAUGCAAAUUAGUGUUUAAAAUAAUGCCGUAUUCGUUGAUGAAAUUAACUGUAUUUCCAUUAUUAUCUGUCAAUCAACCUAUAAAUAAACUGAUACAUUAAUGAUGUCUCAAAUGUUUAUAUGCAAAUAAGUGCCGCAUGUGGUGGUGGUUAGAAUAUUGAUCCAUCUUUUUUUACAACUGGACUUUUCCACCGAAUUAAUUAAUAUUUAAAUGUCUUCACCUUUUUAAUUUGAAAUAUCAUCUUCUCCUUUUAUUUAACAUAACACGUAUAAAAACAAGGGUGCAAUUUUGCAAAACAAAUAAUAUUAAAAACAACAACAAUUGAUAAAAUCAUCAAUACUUGAAUUAUAACAAAAACAAUUACUGUAAAAAUAAAUAUUUACAAUAUAAUUAUAAUUUUUAUAAUUUUCAAAAAAUAAAUUAUAAAAUUCUCAUCAUUUCGUUCAUUUUCGUCACGUAAAAAAAACAAUCAAGUCAAACAGUCAGCACAAGAGGCAAGAAAAGUUGCACAAAAGUGUGUCCUUUUUUCGUACCAAGUAAAAAAAAA